rnacentral:tRNA from 1 species
CGGGGCGUAGCGCAGUCCGGUUAGCGCGUUCCGAUAGAUCGGAAAGGUCGGAGGUUCAAAUCCUCUCACCCGAU